UGAUCCUUAGCAUUUGCUCUCACCUGGGGAACAGUCUGUUUGUCUUCCUACAGCCUUAGGGAAGGCAUAAGAGGGUCAAAAGCACCACCUUUGACCCUAAACCAUGUAUUUUGUCAUCUAGAAGUAUAUUUUGCCUGACUUAUUUCACGGCUGUUUUCUGCUUGAAUUGCACCUGCAGUUUUAUAUACAUCUAUAAUGGACGCAACACACUCCAACUGUUCCUGUUUAUCGCCUUGGCUGGAAAAUAUCACUUUCUCUUGUCGAUGGAUCCUUCAGGUGGAAGCCCAUCAAAUCUUUUGAUCAAAUCUGAAUCAAGUGACAGUGGUACCUCGGAAGUUGAACGGAAUCCGUUCCGGAAGUCCAUU